UUGCUUUGGCAGCAUGUGUACUAAAAUUGGAACAAUACAGAGAAGAUUAGCAUGCCCCUUGUGCAGGAAUAACAUGCAAAUCUGUGAUGCAUUCCAUAUUUUU
ensembl:snRNA U6 U6 spliceosomal RNA